CAAUGUUCCUGCAGUGCAAGA
rnacentral:miRNA from 1 species